rnacentral:rRNA from 1 species
UAGGGAAUCUUCCGCAAUGGGCGAAAGCCUGACGGAGCAACGCCGCGUGAGUGAGGAAGGUCUUCGGAUCGUAAAGCUCUGUUGCCAGGGAAGAAGUCUUGGGAGAGUAACUGCUCUCAAGGUGACGGUACCUGAGAAGAAAGCCCCGGCUAACUACGUGCCAGCAGCCGCGGUAAUACGUAGGGGGCGAGCGUUGUCCGGAAUUAUUGGGCGUAAAGCGCGCGCAGGCGGUUUUGUAAGUCCGAUUGUUUAAACCCGGGGCUCAACCUCGGGUCGCAAGGGAAACUGCAAGACUUGAGUGCAGGAGAGGGAAGCGGAAUUCCAUGUGUAGCGGUGAAAUGCGUAGAGAUAUGGAGGAACACCAGUGGCGAAGGCGGCUUCCUGGCCUGUAACUGACGCUGAGGCGCGAAAGCGUGGGGAGCAAACA